rnacentral:rRNA from 1 species
UACGGAGGGGGUUAGCGUUGUUCGGAAUUACUGGGCGUAAAGCGUACGUAGGCGGAUCAGAAAGUUAGGGGUGAAAUCCCGAGGCUCAACCUCGGAACUGCCUCUAAAACUCCUGGUCUUGAGUUCGAGAGAGGUGAGUGGAAUUCCAAGUGUAGAGGUGAAAUUCGUAGAUAUUUGGAGGAACACCAGUGGCGAAGGCGGCUCACUGGCUCGAUACUGACGCUGAGGUACGAAAGUGUGGGGAGCAAACAGG